CGUAUCGAAGCCACGAAAGCCU
rnacentral:siRNA from 1 species